UAUAUAAAAGUGUUUGUUCAACAGGAACUUGUUUAGUGAUGAUUCUGAAAACUCAUCACACAGUAUAGCUGACUUCAAUAAACCAAAUUUAAGAAAUCCUUGUAAUGUAGUUCAUGAGAAAGAUGUAACGAAAAAAUUCAUGGGACGGAUGGAAGGACAGAGGUAACACAGUAAACCCCCACUUUUGAUUCAUAGGCGCUUGGGUAUUAUGAAACAGACAUAUUUUAUAUUUAUUUUUUGUUGUUGAUUAAAAUAUCCAUUUUUUGGAAAAUCAUUAUAUCACUAUAGGCCUCAGUCAGAAUCGGAACCAAAUAAAAUUUAGAAAAUCCAACUAACACAUCUAUAUCUAAUAACAAGACCUGUUGUACAUAUAUUUCCCCAUCAUAGUCAAGUUUUCUUGUGUUAACAUCAAAUCAAAUUUUGAAGAUUUAUCAUGUUUAUCUAACUUUUUUAAAGUUUUGACAAAUGCUAGAAAUAUGCUAAAAGAGUUUGUCUCUCAAAUUAUUAUGAAGUGAGCAUUCGAUUGCAAAAUGACCCUCAUCCUCAGGUGUACAAUUUAAACAGUAGCGCUCAGAUAUAGCAAUAUGAUUUUUUAGUAUCCGGCAUUUUUAAUUCCUAAUGUAAUUGGUGAGCACAGAUUCUUAGUUAACAUAUGAACUGCCUUUCAUAAAAUCAAUGAUAUCUAAAUAUUUUUCUUCUUAAAAACAGUUUUUGAAAUGAAAAAUAAGUAUCAAGUUUGCCAUUAUCUGAGUGUUCACAUUCCCGAAAAUGAUUUUCAUAAAAUCGCACAGGGUGUCUUGGUAGAAGCUGGAAUUGCUCAUCUUUUCGGAACACCUAUUUCGUCCUAUUUCUCUUCUUAUUUGUAAGGAUCUGGGUUUGUAUUUGUCUCUACAUUAGUCGAUAAUUUCUGCGAGUAGUUGCAAUAAGCAUUUGUAUCAACUCCAAUAUACUGAGACAAAUAUCCUGAAUGAGAAGAAUAAUUGGAAUCAAAAAGGACAAUAACACAUAUGAUAGAAAAGUAGGUCUUUCUAGAGAAAAUUUACUCAUACACUUAAGACAGAUGUAUUGUCGGAAUAAUGAGGUGUCAGAAUAAUCAAUUGUCGGAAUAAUGGGCUGUAGGAGUAACAGGCUGUCUGAAUAGUGGGCUGUUGGAGUAAUGGGCUGUCAGAAUAAUGGUUGUCGGACUAACGGGAUGUCACCGUUGAGUGAACCCUGCCUGACAAAAAUGUAGAUUUUGAAAGGAUCCUAUAUUUUGUGCACACAAGGUAUGAAGCAUCCCGGUUCACCUCUUAAAUAUAAAUCUUUCUAUAAAUAGGUUAUGCCACAGUCAGAUUGUAGUCCCUAUGUCAAGCAUUCUCUGACCUUGACCGCAGGUAAGACAGUCAGAUUGUAGUCCCUAUGACAAGCAUUCUGUGACCUUGACCGCAGGCAAGACAGUCAGAUUGUAGCCCCUAUGUCAAGCAUUCUGUGACCUUGACCGCAGGCAAGACAGUUAGAUUGUAGUCCCUAUGUCAUGCAUUCUGUGACUUUCAUCACAGGCAAGACAGACAGUGCAAUUAAUAUCUAGUUCUAAUCAUGCAUGUAUGAAACACACAGUAUUACUGCAUAAACA
rnacentral:lncRNA from 1 species